GAUGAACGCUGGCGGCGUGCCUAAUACAUGCAAGUCGAACGAACAGACGCUGCGCUUGCUCCUCUGACGUUAGCGGCGGACGGGUGAGUAGCACGUGGAUAACCUACCUAUAAGACUGGUAUCACUUCGGGACACCGGAGCUAAUCCCGGAUAAUCUAUUGAACCGCAUGGUUCAAUAGUGAAAGACGGCUUUGCUGUCACUUAUCGCUGGAUCUCGGCGGCAUUAGAUGGUUGGUACGGUACCGGCUUAUCAAGGGGACGAUGCGUAGCCGACCUGAGAGGGUGAUCGGCGACACUGGAACUGAGACACGGUCCAGACGCCUACGGGAGGCAGCAGUAGGGAAUGUUACGCAGUGGGCGAAAGCCUGACGGAGCAACGCCGCGUGAGUGAUGAAGGUCUUCGGAUCGUAAAACUCUGUUAUUAGGGAAGAACAAAUGUGUAAGUAACUAUGCACGUAUUGACGGUAACUAAUCAGAAAGCAACGGCUAACUACGUG
rnacentral:rRNA from 1 species